rnacentral:rRNA from 1 species
UAGAACGCUGAAGCUUGGUGCUUGCACCGAGCGGAUGAGUUGCGAACGGGUGAGUAACGCGUAGGUAACCUGCCUGGUAGCGGGGGAUAACUAUUGGAAACGAUAGCUAAUACCGCAUAAAAUGGAUUAUCGCAUGAUAAUUCAUUGAAAGGUGCAAAUGCAUCACUACCAGAUGGACCUGCGUUGUAUUAGCUAGUUGGUGGGGUAACGGCUCACCAAGGCGACGAUACAUAGCCGACCUGAGAGGGUGAUCGGCCACACUGGGACUGAGACACGGCCCAGACUCCUACGGGAGGCAGCAGUAGGGAAUCUUCGGCAAUGGACGAAAGUCUGACGGAGCAACGCCGCGUGAGUGAAGAAGGUUUUCGGAUCGUAAAGCUCUGUUGUAAGAGAAGAACGAGUGUGAGAGUGGAAAGUUCACACUGUGACGGUAUCUUACCAGAAGGGGACGGCUAACUACGUGCCAGCAGCCGCGGUAAUACGUAGGUCCCGAGCGUUGUCCGGAUUUAUUGGGCGUAAAGCAAGCGCAGGCGGUUAGAUAAGUCUGAAGUUAAAGGCUGUGGCUUAACCAUAGUACGCUUUGGAAACUGUUUAACUUGAGUGCAAGAGGGGAGAGUGGAAUUCCAUGUGUAGCGGUGAAAUGCGUAGAUAUAUGGAGGAACACCAGUGGCGAAGGCGGCUCUCUGGUCUGUAACUGACGCUGAGGCUCGAAAGCGUGGGGAGCAAACAGGAUU